CACAUUUAUUACUUUUUAUUGUAUUAUUAGGUUAUACAACAUAAUUCAUUAAUCUUAUAAAAUUCAUGCCGAUAAAUCACGGGUGUAGAUAAAAGGCGGACGGAUAAAAGGCGGACGGCGGAGCAUUUUAUAAACACAUGAUUACUACCGCAACUUAUUAUAAUACCCUAAAAGUAAAUUAAAGUAUACCAGCUUUACAUCUGUAAAAUGAAUAUGUUUUCACCCGUUCGAAUUCUUAGGAAUGCAAUUUUUUAUAUGUGCCCACGAAAUAAAAAAAUCGUUCAAGAGCCAUGAACGACAGAAAAAGAUCAAGCAGCAUUACUUAGCAGGUUAAAACAUUAUUGGGCUCAAUGAAAAUCUACCCCAUCAAUCCGCCCCUAUAAUAUAUGAUAUUUCUAAAAUCCAUAUAUAGAAUAGUCGUCGCCUGCAAAUAGGCCAUUUCUACGUGUGAAGCUCUUAGGUUUAUAAGUAAAUUAAAAUGGGGAUUAUUUUCAUUAUAAAACAACAAGUCAGCACUAUUUAAAGUGCGAAAUUGUCAGCAAGUAAAUAUCAUUUAAUAUAGCCCUGCCUAACAGAAUCUCCAAAACUAAGGCGCUUUUUUACAAUAUUUCUAAAAGUUUCCCGAGAAAGACAACGUAUGGCCUAUCAUACAUACGUAUUGAAUGCUGAUUAAAAAAUUUCAUUGCUAAAAAUUCGAACGGGCGAAAACAUAUUCAUUUCACAGAUUUAGCUAAGACUGGUAUACUUUAAUUUAGGGCAUUAUAAUUCGUUGCGGUAGUAAUCAUGUGUUUAUAAAAUGCCCCGCGGUCCGCCGUCCGUCCGCCUUUUAUCUACACCCGAUAAAUCACAUAUACAUUAUAAUUUAUGAUUUAAUUUAAGCUGUGGCUUACUUUAUUCUAACUUACUCUAUUAUAAGUAGGUUAGUUUAAUUUAAUUAAAAUUAGUAUUAUUUAUUACAUAUUUUUAUAUAUUAAUUAGAAAUUAUUAUUAUUUAUUAUUAAUAUUAUUCAAGCCGUGGUUUACUUUCGCUGGUUUAAAUGGUCCUAAUCAAAUAUAUAUAUACAUAAAAUUUUAUUUUAACAUGCUUGCCCCAACAAAUUGUAUGAGGUAGGACAAUUACUAAUUUUUAAAAACAAAUUAUUCAAAUUAGGUGCAGUGAGAUUAUUUAAGAUUUUGUAUAUAAAAAUCGAUUUCAAAUAAUCUCGCUUUUCAAAUAAUCUCUAAAGUUUCCCAAGCGAGUGUUUCGAACACGUCAGCCGUCCGUAUAUCAUAAGUUGUCCCCGUUAAUUAACAAUUAUUCGCCGAAGGCGAGGUGAUUAUCGGUGAAUAAAAACCGAGACGAAGUAGAGGUUUUUAUUCACGAUAAUCACCGAACCUGAGGUGAAUAAUUGUUUUAGUAUAAUUUCAUAGGUGAUUAUUUGGGAAAAAUAAGAAAAUACACAUUUCUUCGUCAUUUAAUUGACAAAAAGGCUCCGGC